GAUGAACGCUGGCGGUAUGCCUAACACAUGCAAGUCGUACGAGGGUUUUUAACUCUAGUGGCGGACGGGUGAGUAACACGUGAGAAUUUGCCUUUAGGAGGGGGAUAACAAUCGGAAACGAAUGCUAAUACCCCAUAUGCUUUCGAGUGAAAUGGAUUUAUCCGCCUAAAGAGAAGCUCGCGGCUGAUUAGCUUGUUGGUAAGGUAAGAGCUUACCAAGGCGACGAUCAGUAUCUGGUUUGAGAGGACGAUCAGACACACUGGAACUGAGACACGGUCCAGACUCCUACGGGAGGCAGCAGUGGGAAUUUUCCGCAAUGGGCGAAAGCCUGACGGAGCAAUACCGCGUGAGGGAAGACUGCCUAUGGGUUGUAAACCUCUUUUUCAGGGAGGAAUAAAAUGACGUGUACCUGAAGAAUAAGCAUCGGCUAACUCCGUG
rnacentral:rRNA from 1 species